AGCUUCUGGACUAGCUCUUUCACAAUCUCGCAAAGACUUGUAUUCUUGAUGUAAAUCGAGAUGUAGCUUUACUAGUUUCUCCUUUAGCUUUAGCAGAAGCACUCAACCUCUCAUUGACUACAGAUCCAGAGAAUACUGAUUAUGCUGCUGAGGCUGGUGCUUAUAGAACAUUUCAAGCAGAGGCCAUUGCUGUGAGAGAGAUUGAGCCCAAGCAACAAGAGAAAGAAGAAGAGGAGGCCAACAACCCAAUGCUGGCAUUAGAAAACAGGACCAAAGAGUCAAGGAGAGAGAUGGACAUUCUUGACGUGCUCGAAGAGAUAAAGGACAUAAACGCUCAACAAGAAGGAGUCUCAUUUGAACAACUAAUGGAGAAACACCUCGAGAAA